rnacentral:rRNA from 1 species
UACGUAGGGUGCAAGCGUUGUCCGGAAUUAUUGGGCGUAAAGAGCUCGUAGGCGGUUUGUCGGCGUCUGCUGUGAAAACUCGGGGGCUUAACUCCGGGCCUGCAGUGGGUACGGGCAGACUAGAGUGCGGUAGGGGAGACUGGAAUCCUGGUGUAGCGGUGAAUGACGCAGAUAUCAGGAGGAACAGCCGGUGGCGGAAAGGCGGGGUUGCUGGGGCUGACACUGACGCUGAAGCGCGAAAGCGUAGGGGAGCGAACGGG